rnacentral:tRNA from 1 species
GGUCUCUUCAUCUAAUGGUUAGGAUGCUACCCUCUCACGGUGGAAAUACGGGUUCGAAUCCCGUAGAGAUCACCA